rnacentral:rRNA from 1 species
GACGAACGCUGGCGGCGCGCCUAACACAUGCAAGUCGAACGAGCGAGCGAGAGCUUGCUUUCUUGAGCGAGUGGCGAACGGGUGAGUAACGCGUGAGGAACCUGCCUCAAAGAGGGGGACAACAGUUGGAAACGACUGCUAAUACCGCAUAAGCCCACGGUGCCGCAUGGCACAGAGGGAAAAGGAGCAAUCCGCUUUGAGAUGGCCUCGCGUCCGAUUAGCUUGUUGGUGAGGUAACGGCCCACCAAGGCGACGAUCGGUAGCCGGACUGAGAGGUUGAACGGCCACAAUGGGACUGAGGCACGGCCCAGACUCCUACGGGAGGCAGCAGUGGGGAAUAUUGCACAAGGGGGGAAGCCCUGAUGCAGCGGCGCCGGGUGGAGGAAGAAGGUCUUCGGAUUGUAAACUCCUGUUGUUGGGGAAGAUAAUGACGGUACCCAACAAGGAAGUGACGGCUAACUACGUG